ACACGACUACAUUAGAUACCCCUGUAGUCCCAGCCGUAAACUAUGCGCGUUAGGUGUAUCGGUGACCACGAGUCACCGAGGUGCCGAAGGGAAACCGUGAAACGUGCCGCCUGGGAAGUACGGUCGCAAGGCUGAAACUUAAAGGAAUUGGCGGGGAGCACCACAACGGGUGGAGCCUGCGGUUUAAUUGGACUCAACGCCGGAAAUCUCACCGGAUAGGACAGACAUAUGAUAGUCGGGCUGAAGACUCUACUUGAUGAUCUG
rnacentral:rRNA from 1 species